rnacentral:rRNA from 1 species
UACAGGGGGUGCAAACGUUGCUCGGAAUCAUUGGGCGUAAAGCGCACGUAGGCGGUUCGUUAUGUCGGAUGUGAAAGCCCUUGGCUUAACCGAGGAAGUGCAUCCGAAACUGGCGAGCUAGAGUACGAAAGAGGAUCGCGGAAUUCCCGGUGUAGAGGUGAAAUGCGUAGAUAUCGUCAGGAACGCCAAUGGUGAAGACAGGUGACUGGGCUAGAUCUGACACUGAGGCACGAAAGCGUGGGGAUCAAACGGG